UACGGAGGGUGCAAACGUUGCUCGGAAUCAUUGGGCGUAAAGCGCACGUAGGCGGUCCAGUAAGUCGGGUGUGAAAGCCCUGGGCUUAACCCAGGAAGUGCAAACGAAACUACUAGACUUGAGUACUGAAGAGGGUCGCGGAAUUCCCGGUGUAGAGGUGAAAUUCGUAGAUAUCGGGAGGAACACCAGUGGCGAAGGCGGCGACCUGGGCAGAUACUGACGCUGAGGUGCGAAAGCGUGGGGAGCAAACAGG
rnacentral:rRNA from 1 species